CUCAGCUGUCCCCGCACCUCUCCAGACCGCCCACGUCCCAGCUGCCCCCUGGCAUCUCCGGAUCACCCACGUCCCGCCAUCCACCGCGCGUCCCCGGACCGCCCACCUCCCAGCAGCCCCGCGCCUCCCGGACCGCCCACUUCCCGGCAGUCCCCGCGCAUCUCUGUGGCAGCUGCCCAGUGCUUCUCGCCCCGCCGCGCCCGCCCACCCAACGGCGCUGUGUCCAGGAACCCACUUGAAGAACCUGUGGAGCUUCAAGAUAGUUUAGACUUGGUAUGCCAAGGGACCGCCGGAAGAGGAAAGAACCAAUCCAUCCAUGUAGUCUUCACACAACACACUGGAGGGUUCAGAGCAAUGGGAGAAGAGGAAGUCCCAACAGACACUCUCAUGUGGCUGCAGGAGCCAUAGCCUGAGCCCCGCCUGAGCUGCAGGGAAUGAGCUUGAGGCUUGGGGCUUUUGCAGCAAGAAACACCUCCCCAUUUUACAGGGGGCAAGAGAAGUACAAGGAAAAGCAAGAACAACAACAACAAAUAAAAAUAAAUAGAAUGGUUUAAGAGCAAAAGGGGCCCCAGGUCAGUGCUGAUACUGAUUUGCGUACUUUAGUGUCAGGAGAAGGAGAAGGGUCAGAUGUGAAACCUGUGAGGUUCUACAUGACACUGACCCUGGCCCUGCCUCUCUAUUGGCUGUGAUCAAAGUUCCUGAAGGCUGGUCUAGUCAGGGAAUCUCACAGAGGUUUCUGUCCUGAGUCUGACUGGAGAAGACUCACCAGGCACCCCUGAGUUUCCUCAAGGGUGAUCCUGGUGACCACGGUUGAGGACUUUUCAUCUUUGUAAGCAUCCAUCUGCAUUUUGUGCAUAUAAGAAUAGGUUCUCAUAUUAAAAUAAUCAUUUAAAAAUAUGUAGAGAUGACAUUGGUAAGCACAGAAUUCUGAACUUAGAGAGGUUCCCUAGAGAAAUGGUAAAAAGAUGAAGUCCCACACCCUGACAGGAAAUCAGCCUCUGUGUGCACCUGCCUCUUGGGCUGACUCUGAUCAGUGGCUCCUGAGCGCCCCCUGCAGCUGGUUUCCUCCAGCGUUCCUGCAGGGAAGUUUGUAUCUGGGCCCACAUUGACUUCCGCUCACUGUGUCUCUUGCACAGUAAUACACAGCCGUGUCCUCAGCUAUCAGGCUGUUCAUUUGAAGAUACAAGGACUUCUUGGCGUUGUCUCUGGAGAUGGUGAAUCGGCCCAUCACGGAGUCUGCAUAGUAUGUAUCACCACCAGUACCAAUAGCUGAUACCCACUCCAGACCCUUCCCUGGAGCCCGGCGAACCCAGUGCAGAACAUAGCUACUGAAGGCGAAUCCAGAGGCUGCACAGGAGGGUCUCAGGGACCCCCCAGGCUGUACCAAGCCUCCCGCAGACACCACCAGCUGAUCCUCACACUGGACACCUGCAAACACAGAGACACCAAGGUCAGAAAUUGCCAAACAUAUCCACUGUUUCUCUCACUCAUGUAACUCACACUCAAUCUCUCUAGUUCUCCAUGAAUCACAUUUUAAUAUAGCAACAAGGAAACCCCAGCUUAGCACAAACUCCAUGGUGAGUCCUGUGUGUUCAGUCCUGAUCACUGAAUGCAAACACUUGGGAAUCUCAAGGCUGGGGCUCCUCUCCCAGAGGAGCAGGGUCAGGGGUAGGCUGGUUUUCAUCCAAAAAUUAUGGAGACAACUAGGGGUCAGGCAGAUAAAUUUUUGGUGUAUCUGACAUUUAAUGUACUUAUUUGUUUCUUCCUAUCAUCCCUUUUUUGUAUAAAAUGUCAGCUGUUUACUUGUAAUAAAUUUUAUGAGUUUUAAUUAACAGAUGAUAAAAUUCACAUAUUUAACAUGUGCAAUAGUAAACUUUGAAAAAAUAAUCUCUAUUUUCAAUGAGGUAACAAGUCAACUCCCCUCAGCAUUCCUCUUGAUCUUUUAUAUUUUUUUUGUUUUUUCCCUUUCCCUUUUUCUACCAUUUCUUUAUAAAACUACUGAUGUCUUCAUAUUUCUUUAGACUAGUAUUUAUUUGGUAGAAUUUAUAAGAAUGAAAUAGUAUAUACACUUAUGUAUUUGGCUUAUUUUUCUCAAUAGAAAUACUGAGAAUUAAACCAUUUAUGUUAUAUGUGUUUUUUUAAUAAAAAUU
rnacentral:lncRNA from 1 species